UACGAGGGGGGCGAGCGUUGUUCGGAAUUAUUGGGCGUAAAGGGUGCGUAGGCGGUUUGGUAAGUCUUAUGUGAAAUCUACAGGCUCAACUUGUAGUCUGCAUGAGAAACUGCCGGGCUUGAGUAUGGGAGAGGUGAGUGGAAUUCCUGGUGUAGCGGUGAAAUGCGUAGAUAUCAGGAGGAACACCUGUGGCGAAAGCGGCUCACUGGACCAUAACUGACGCUGAUGCACGAAAGCUAGGGGAGCAAACAUG
rnacentral:rRNA from 1 species